rnacentral:rRNA from 1 species
GAUGAACGCUGGCGGCGUGCCUAAUACAUGCAAGUCGUGCGGCAGCGAGCCCUUCGGGGUGUCGGCGAGCGGCGGACGGCUGAGUAACACGUAGGAACAUACCCCAAAGUGAGGGAUAACUGCUCGAAAGAGUAGCUAAUACCGCAUGUGGUCUAAGGAUUAAAGCUUCGGCGCUUUGGGAAUGGCCUGCGUUCGAUUAGCUAGAUGGUGAGGUAAAAGCUCACCAUGGCGACGAUCGAUAGCUGGUCUGAGAGGAUGAUCAGCCAGACUGGGACUGAGACACGGCCCAGACUCCUACGGGAGGCAGCAGUAGGGAAUUUUCCACAAUGGGCGAAAGCCUGAUGGAGCAACGCCGCGUGCAGGAUGAAGGCCUUCGGGUUGUAAACUGCUUUUAUAUGUGACGAUUAUGACGGUAGCAUAUGAAUAAGGAUCGGCUAACUCCGUGCCAGCAGCAGCCGCAG